GGAUGUAGCUCAGUGGCAAAGCAUUUGUCUCACAUACAUGAAACCCUGGGUUAGACCCCCAGUUCCA
rnacentral:tRNA from 1 species